rnacentral:snRNA from 14 species
AUUGCUUCUCGGCCUUUUGGCUAAGAUCAAGUGUAGUAUCUGAAUGGCAAGGAACCCAUGGAGGGACUGAAGUGGCCAACACUG